GAUGAACGCUGGCGGCGUGCUUAACACAUGCAAGUCGAACGGGAAUUAUUUUAUUGAAACUUCGGCCGAUUUAAUUUAAUUCUAGUGGCGGACGGGUGAGUAACGCGUGGGUAACCUGCCUUAUACAGGGGGAUAACAGUCAGAAAUGGCUGCUAAUACCGCAUAAGCGCACAGAGCUGCAUGGCUCAGUGUGAAAAACCCCGGUGGUAUAAGAUGGACCCGCGUUGGAUUAGCUUGUUGGCAGGGUAACGGCCUACCAAGGCGACGAUCCAUAGCCGGCCUGAGAGGGUGAACGGCCACAUUGGGACUGAGACUCGGCCCAGACUCCUACGGGAGGCAGCAGUGGGGAAUAUUGCACAAUGGGGGAAACCCUGAUGCAGCGACGCCGCGUGAAGGAAGAAGUAUCUCGGUAUGUAAACUUCUAUCAGCAGGGAAGAUAGUGACGGUACCUGACUAAGAAGCCCCGGCUAACUACGUG
rnacentral:rRNA from 1 species